GACGAACGCUGGCGGCGUGCUUAACACAUGCAAGUCGAACGGAAAGGCCCUGCUUUUGUGGGGUGCUCGAGUGGCGAACGGGUGAGUAACACGUGAGUAACCUGCCCUUGACUUUGGGAUAACUUCAGGAAACUGGGGCUAAUACCGGAUAGGAGCUCCUGCUGCAUGGUGGGGGUUGGAAAGUUUCGGCGGUUGGGGAUGGACUCGCGGCUUAUCAGCUUGUUGGUGGGGUAGUGGCUUACCAAGGCUUUGACGGGUAGCCGGCCUGAGAGGGUGACCGGCCACAAUGGGACUGCGGUACGGACCAGACUCCUACGGGAGGCAGCAGGCGGGAAUAUUGCACAAUGGGCGGAAGCCUGAUGCAGCAACGCCGCGUGCGGGAUGACGGCCUUCGGGUUGUAAACCGCUUUCGCCUGUGACGAAGCGUGAGUGACGGUAAUGGGUAAAGAAGCACCGGCUAACUACGUG
rnacentral:rRNA from 1 species